rnacentral:tRNA from 1 species
GCCAUCGUGGUGUAGUGGUCAGCGCACUCGACGAGUAUUCGAAAGGUCCGUGGUUCGAUUCCCGGCGAAGGCG